CAGAGUUCUGGGGCCCUUAGGCUCUACUACUCCCACCCUAUGUUGACUUAAAAACUGUUGCUUCGGCGGGCCGGUCUUUAAUGGCCGCCGGCCCUAGGGCUGGAGAGCGCCCGCCGGAGACCUUUUAAAUCCGUCUUUGAACCGUGACGUCUGAGUUUGAGACAAUGAAUGA
rnacentral:misc_RNA from 1 species